AUUGAACGCUGGCGGCAGGCCUAACACAUGCAAGUCGAGCGGUAGCACAGGGAGCUUGCUCCUGGGUGACGAGCGGCGGACGGGUGAGUAAUGUCUGGGAAACUGCCUGAUGGAGGGGGAUAACUACUGGAAACGGUAGCUAAUACCGCAUAACGUCGCAAGACCAAAGAGGGGGACCUUCGGGCCUCUUGCCAUCAGAUGUGCCCAGAUGGGAUUAGCUAGUAGGUGGGGUAACGGCCCACCUAGGCGACGAUCCCUAGCUGGUCGGAGAGGAUGGCCAGCCACCCGGGAACGGAGACACGGUCCAGACUCCGACGGGAGGGAGCAGUGGGCAAACUGGAACAAUGAGCGCGAGCCUGAUGCAGCCAUGCCGCGUGUAUGAAGAAGGACUUCGGGUUGUAAAGUACUUUCAGCGGGGAGGAAGGCGAUAAGGUUAAUAACCUUGUCGAUUGACGUUACCCGCAGAAGAAGCACCGGCUAACUCCGUGCCAGCAGCCGCCGUAA
rnacentral:rRNA from 1 species